UGUGUGUGUGUGUGUGUGUGUGUAAGCCUCCACAGAUGGGUGUAAUUUGUGUGAGAUCGCUGACCUUGACUCUGUCAGCAGCCGUUACAGAGAAUCCGAGCUGAAAUAACAAACGAGAGAACAGAUCAGACGAGCAGGAAGAAGAACCCAAGCGGAACCCGUAACUCCGACGUUCUGCUGCAGUCUUUCCUCGCAGGCGUGAGCGUGGACGUGCGCGGCGUCAGUGAUGGACGUGAGACGGUGAAAUGCCAGCGCCGUGUUCCUCACAGCCAACGACAUUUUAAUUUAAGUGUCGAGUUCACAGCAGCAGGACACACAGUAAAGACAUUAGCAGCAGAUCCUAUAAGUCCUGUAAGUUGUGAGGUGGGGCCUCCAUGGAUCGGACUUGAUGUCCAGCACGUCCCACAGAUGCUCCAUCGGAUUGAGAUCUGGAGAAUUUGGAGGCCAAGUCAACACCUUGAACUCUCUGUCAUGUUCCUCAAACCAGGAGUGUUCUCCAGGGCAGAGAUGUUCUUCACAGCAGGAGCGUUCUUCAGGGCAGGAGCGUUCUUCAGGGCAGGGAGAAUGUAGAACCUCACAAGUGUUGCCCUAUCAGAGAAGGUUCCAUGUAGAACUCUUACAGAUGAACCUAUGAACCCUGUAACUGUUUCCCUAUCAGAGAAGAUUCCAAGUUCUAAGAAGUUCUAAACCCUCUCUUAUUAGAACACACCCAGUUAAUACACACACUCUCAGAACAAAAGGUUCUUUAAUGGUUCAUUGGAUAAUUAUGGGUUCUUCUUGGAACCCUUUCUGAUUGCGACACACUCUGUUGGGGAAAAGCAGACUCUUGGAUUCUAAAAGUAAAAUCUAAAUUCAGAAGGAUAUAAAUAAAAAUGUUGGAAUGAAGAUGUUCUGUAUAUAUAUAUAUAUAUUGUCUAACUGUUCCUUUAAGAACUUUUUGUUUGGUUAGAGAAGAUUACAUGGUGAGAAGAAGGUGAUGAAGAGAAGGAGCAGGUUCUGGGAAAAGGGCACGGUGGUCUGUAGCUGUUAUCACCUCGACAUGACUGAAAGCACCAGGAGCUCACCAGCUUCUAAUUAGCACCGCUGUUAGGAACCAACAGAACUCUGACCUGAGAUCAGCAUUAGUCUUUUCACUUUAAUGACUGAAGCUGAUUGGAGCAGAUCUGAGAUCAGUGUUAGCCAGGCCUGCUUCAAAGGACAUAUGUGUGUGUGUGUGUGUGUGUGCGUGUGCGUAUGUGUGUGUGUGUGUGUGUGUGAGAGUGAGAGAGAGAGAUGUAUAAUUGAAGGCUUCAUUGAGUUACAUGUAAAUAAAGCAAUCAAACAUGUGUGUAAAUAAGCAAACACACACACAAAGAGAAGAGAGGAAUUACAUCUUAAUGAUCAUUAUCUCUUUCACACACACACAUACACAGUCUCUCUCACACACACACACACACACACAUACACACACACACACACACACACACACAAAGUUUAGCCAACAUAAUAAAAUACUCUAGAUUAAAUUUCUCAUACUCAUUUAAUAGGAGGCAGAUUUUCACAGAUGUUCCAGAAAUCUCUAUUAUGUAAGAACAUAAUGCUGUGUGUGUGUGUGUGUGUGUGUGUGUGUGUGUGUCUGUGUGUGUGUGUGAGACUGUGUGUGUGUGUGUGUGUGUGUGUCUGUGUGUGUGUGAGACUGUGUG